GAACCCGUGGCUCAAUGGUAGAGCGUUUGACUGAAAUACCAAAGGUCGCGGGUUCG
rnacentral:tRNA from 1 species